rnacentral:lncRNA from 1 species
GCAAUGGAUGCCCUCACAAACGUGGGACGGCAAAAGUACAAAAGGAAUGAUGCAAAUGGAUGCCUAAUGGACGGCGAUAAAAGUCCAAAAGAAUGAUGCAAUGGAUGCCUAAAUGGACGCAAAGCCAAAAGAACGGAUGCCAAUGGAUGCUAAAUGGAACUGGCAAAUGCCCAAAAGAAGGAUGCAGAUGGAAGUGCCUAAAUGGACCUGAAAGUCCAAAAGAAUGAUGCAAUGGAUGCCUAAAUGGACGUCAAAGUCCAAAAGACUGAUGCAAAUGGGACUGCCUAAAUGGACGGCAAAGUCCAAAAGAAUGAAUGCAAUCAAUGGAUGCCUAAAUGGACGGCAAAGUCCAAAAGAAUGAUGCAAUGGAUGCCUAAAUGGACGGCAAAGCCCAAAAGAAUGAUGCAAGAUACACUAAAAUGGAGGGCAAAGCCAAAGAGAAUGCAUCAAAGAAUGUCAAAAUGGAGGGCAAGAAAAACACUGCAAGAAACAACUGAGCAACAGCAAAGACCAAACACAAAGACAACACAGUAGGACAAGCACAGACAGCCCAUAGGACACCACAGAGUGCAGAAAUGAGCUCAGAAACACUAACCUCGCAUCUCAGUACAUAACAAGUAAAAACCAAUUGCUGUGUGCUGCCCUUACCUGCUGGGCUGAGAGUUACCAUCAGCAAAGCUGGGUCCAGGCAAUGCAGGUUUCUGUUCCUCGCUGCUCUCAUCAGGAGCCGCACAUCUCUGUGCUCUGCUGGAACCUGUUGGACACAACAUGACAAUGAAGGCACUGGGAUACAAUUAAUGCUAUUAGGGAUAUAAUUAAUGCUAUUAGGGAUAUAAUUAAUGCUAUUAGGGAUAUAAUUAAUGCUAUUAUGGAUAUAAUUAAUGCUACUUUUAAGUCUAGAUUUGCAGUAAGUUUAACAAUUGUAUCCCACACUACGAUCAUAAUUAAAGUGACUUUCACAUAAAGCACUGAGCAUCACUUUUAUGACUGCAUUUAUCAUAACAGACACCUUUAGUAUUGGGUAAAUAUUAGGUAAAUAUCAGUUCCAUUAACAAAUACAGGUUACAGACUUUAUCACUACAACCCGCAUUAAGCCGGGGGAGCAGAUCAAGAUUAACACAAACAAAACAUUAACACAAAUCCCAAAGACAAGCAGAACAACCACAGAAAGACACUGCAAGAGAAAAGCAAAGCAAGCAGCCAAGGGUAAGACAAAGAAAAAAGCAAGAAGGAAAGCCAAGGGAAACCAAAGCAAAAGCAACAGCAAACAGGCCAUUAUAGGGAACACCAAGAACAAAGGCCAAAGGGAAAACAGCGUGGGGAGCCAACAGAACAAAGGGAACAAUGAAACAGAG